GACCAGAAGGCAUACCACCUCAACGAUUCUCACUUCAUGAUGAAGUGCCAUUUCGGCCUCAGGCACCUCUGCCAACUGACACGACUCCAUAGCAGGAAACGACUUUAGACUUUGUCCUAAGGGGCGUUCUUUAAAUAGACAAACUAUAAAGUUGCUGUCUCGUUUCUCCCUGUUCCCCUGAUCUUUUGCACCGUGCACACAUUCGUUUUGCAAAAUAUAGAACAAGUUUUGGCCUUUUUUUCGGAUAGGAAAGAGUGAUAACGUUGAUUGGGCGAUUGUGAUUGUGAUAAACCAUAAUUCAGUUUUUAUAGAGCAAGUUGUGGCCUUUUUUUCCGUUAGGGAAGAGCGAUGACGUUGAUUGAGGUACAACAUGUGAUAAACCUUAACUCAGGUACGAAUUUCAUUCUCAUGAUCCAUUCAUUUUAAGACCUCCACUUGUUCCGACCAAAUAUUUAGUUCAA